rnacentral:rRNA from 1 species
UACGGGGGGGGCAAGCGUUGUUCGGAAUUACUGGGCGUAAAGGGCUCGUAGGCGGCCAACUAAGUCAGACGUGAAAUCCCUCGGCUUAACCGGGGAACUGCCUCUGAUACUGGAUGGCUUGAGUUCGGGAGAGGGAUGCGGAAUUCCAGGUGUAGCGGUGAAAUGCGUAGAUAUCUGGAGGAACACCGGUGGCGAAGGCGGCAUCCUGGACCGACACUGACGCUGAGGAGCGAAAGCCAGGGGAGCAAACGGG